UACGAAGGGGGCUAGCGUUGUUCGGAAUUACUGGGCGUAAAGCGCGUGUAGGCGGUUGUCCAAGUCGGGUGUGAAAGCCUUGAGCUCAACUCAAGAAAUGCACUCGAUACUGGGCGACUCGAGUGCCGGAGAGGAUAGUGGAAUUCCCAGUGUAGUGGUGAAAUACGUAGAGAUUGGGAAGAACACCAGUGGCGAAGGCGGCUAUCUGGACGGUUACUGACGCUAAGACGCGAAAGCGUGGGGAGCAAACAGG
rnacentral:rRNA from 1 species